rnacentral:rRNA from 1 species
CACGUAGGCGGACUGGAAAGUCAGAGGUGAAAUCCCAGGGCUCAACCUUGGAACUGCCUUUGAAACUAUCAGUCUGGAGUUCGAGAGAGGUGAGUGGAAUUCCGAGUGUAGAGGUGAAAUUCGUAGAUAUUCGGAGGAACACCAGUGGCGAAGGCGGCUCACUGGCUCGAUACUGACGCUGAGGUGCGAAAGCGUGGGGAGCAAACA